ensembl:lncRNA
CUAGUCUGCUGCUGAGCUGGGGGAGCUGCGUAUUGUGUUCCCCCACCUUUUCUGGCACAGAGGGGAGAUAAUGGGAGCAGUUGGGGUGUAUGUCCACUAGCUGCUGUCAGCUCCUACCUUCUUCUCCAGGCAGCCAGCUUUCUUGGAAGGCAUUGGUUCUGAGACAGCUGCAAGGUGAAGUUGAUGUCUUUGGUGUCAAGGAUGAGGGUUGCUUGCCGCUUUCACCUGCCAUUUCAUUCUCUAUCUCACUGUUUAUAUAGAUAUCAAAGAUGAUUGUUUGCCAUCUGUGAGGAGAACAUUCCCUUUACAGGUAGGUAUGUCUAGG